AUUGAACGCUGGCGGCAGGCCUAACACAUGCAAGUCGAGCGGAUGAAGGGAGCUUGCUCCUGGAUUCAGCGGCGGACGGGUGAGUGAUGCCUAGGAAUCUGCCUCGUAGUGGGGUAUAACGUCCGGAAACGGGCGCUACUACCGCAUACGACCUGAGGGGGAAGUUGGGUGAGCUUCGGAACUCUUCGUAUCAUGUGGACCUCCGUCGGAUUAGUUAGUUGGUGGGGUAAAGGCCUCCCAAGCCGACGAUCCGUAACUGGUCUGAGAGGAUGAUCAGUCACACUGGAACUGAGACACGGUCCAGACUCCUACGGGAGGCAGCAGUGGGGAAUAUUGGACAAUGGGCGAAAGCCUGAUCCAGCCAUGCCGCGUGUGUGAAGAAGGUCUUCGGAUUGUAAAGCACUUUAAGUUGGGAGGAAGGGCAGUAAGUUAAUACCUUGCUGUUUUGACGGUACCAACAGAAUAAGCACCGGCUAACUUCGUG
rnacentral:rRNA from 1 species